CGGACGGGUGAGUAAUGUCUGGGAAACUGCCUGAUGGAGGGGGAUAACUACUGGAAACGGUAGCUAAUACCGCAUAACGUCGCAAGACCAAAGAGGGGGACCUUCGGGCCUCUUGCCAUCAGAUGUGCCCAGAUGGGAUUAGCUAGUAGGUGGGGUAACGGCCCACCAAGGCGAUGAUCAGUAGCCGGUCUGAGAGGAUGAACGGCCACACUGGAACUGAGACACGGUCCAGACUCCUACGGGAGGCAGCAUG
rnacentral:rRNA from 1 species